rnacentral:rRNA from 1 species
CCUACGGGAGGCAGCAGUGAGGAAUAUUGGUCAAUGGACGAGAGUCUGAACCAGCCAAGUAGCGUGAAGGAUGACUGCCCUAUGGGUUGUAAACUUCUUUUAUAUGGGAAUAAAAUGUUCCACGUGUGGGAUUUUGUAUGUACCAUAUGAAUAAGGAUCGGCUAACUCCGUUCCAGCAGCCGCGGUAAUACGGAGGAUCCGAGCGUUAUCCGGAUUUAUUGGGUUUAAAGGGAGCGUAGGUGGAUGGAUAAGUCAGUUGUGAAAGUUUGCGGCUCAACCGUAAAAUUGCAGUUGAAACUGGCAGUCUUGAGUGCAGUAGAGGUAGGCGGAAUGCGUGGUGUAGCGGUGAAAUGCUUAGAUAUCACGAAGAACUCCGAUUGCGAAGGCAGUUCACUGGACUGCAACUGACACUGAGGCUCGAAAGUGUGGGUAUCAAACAGGAUUAGAUACCCCGGUAGUC